CCCUUAGAUGUCCGGGGCUGCACGCGCGCUACACUGUAGAAAGCAGCGUGCUUUAAAACCUUUCCUGAAAAGGAUGGGUAACCCCAGCAAAAUUCUACGUGCUUGGGAUAGAGAUUUGCAAUUUUCUCUCUUGAACGAGGAAUUCCCAGUAAGCGCGGGUCAUCAUCCCGCGCUGAAUACGUCCCUGCCCUUUGUACACACCGCCCGUCGCUCCUACCGAUUGAGUGGUCCGGUGAGGCUUUGGGAUCUGAGCGGAAAGAGCGUUUCGCUGUUUCUGCUCGGAAAACUCAGUCGAACCUUACCAUUUAGAGGAAGGAGAAGUCGUAACA
rnacentral:rRNA from 1 species